rfam:Salmo salar isolate Sally breed double haploid chromosome ssa14, whole genome shotgun sequence.
UGCACGCAUGACUGUAAGUCGCUUUGGAUAAAAGUGUCUGUUAAAUGGCAUAUA